AGCCUCCUGGUGCUUACCACAGGCUGUGUUCUUAUACUGACUAUAUCGAAAAAGGAGUCAGAGUAUCUAUCCUAUAUACACCUCAGUCCCGGCCCUAUGCCUGGUUUGUAUUGUGAAUGGGGGGACAUGG
rnacentral:snoRNA from 1 species